rnacentral:lncRNA from 1 species
GAGGAUGCAACGCUGCGCUGAUCGCCUGAUGUCAAUAAUGAAAAUUUUAAAACGGUCCUGUAGUUCUUUCAAUGUGAAAAAGAGCAAAACACUGCAGCAUUGAAGUGGAAGAAUCACAUUUAUUGAGCGGACACAGUCUGGUUGCUGGCGGCGUCGGACACAGUCUGGUUGCUGGCGGCGUCGGACACAGUCUGGUUGCUGGCGGCGUCGGACACAGUCUGGUUGCUGGCGGCGUCGGACACAGUCUGGUUGCUGGCGGCGUCGGACACAGUCUGUUUGCUGGCGGCGUCGACACAGUCUGGUUGCUGGCGGCGUCGGACACAGUCUGGUUGCUGCGGCGUCACACAGUCUGGUUGCUGGCGGCGUCGGACACAGUCUGGUUGCUGGCGGCGUCGGACACAGUCUGGUUGCUGGCGCGUCGGACACAGUCUGGUUGCUGGCGGCGUCGGACACAGUCUGGUUGCUGGCGGCGUCGGACACAGUCUGGUUGCUGGCGGCGUCGGACACAGUCUGGUUGCUGGCGGCGUCGGACACAGUCUGGUUGCUGGCGGCGUCGACACAGUCUGGUUGCUGGCGCGUCGGACACAGUCUGGUUGCUGGCGGCGUCGGACACAGUCUGGUUGCUGGCGGCGUCGGACACAGUCUGGUGCUGGCGGCGUCGGACACAGUCUGGUUGCUGGCGCGUCGGACACAGUCUGGUUGCUGGCGGCGUCGGACACAGUCUGGUUGCUGGCGGCGUCGGACACAGUCUGGUUGCUGGCGGCGUCGGACACAGUCUGGUUGCUGGCGGCGUCGGACACAGUCUGGUUGCUGGCGGCGUCGGACACAGUCUGGUUGCUGGCGGCGUCGGACACAGUCUGGUUGCUGGCGGCGUCGGACACAGUCUGGUUGCUGGCGGCGUCGGACACAGUCUGGUUGCUGGCGGCGUCGGACACAGUCUGGUUGCUGGCGGCGUCGGACACAGUCUGGUUGCUGGCGGCGUCGGACACAGUCUGGUUGCUGGCGGCGUCGGACACAGUCUGUUGCUGGCGUCGGACACAGUCUGGUUGCUGGCGCGUCGGACACAGUCUGGUUGCUGGCGGCGUCGGACACAGUCUGGUUGCUGGCGGCGUCGGACACAGUCUGGUUGCUGGCGGCGUCGGACACAGUCUGGUUGCUGGCGGCGUCGGACACAGUCUGGUUGCUGGCGGCGUCGGACACAGUCUGGUUGCUGGCGGCGUCGGACACAGUCUGGUUGCUGGCGCGUCGGACACAGUCUGGUUGCUGGCGGCGUCGGACACAGUCUGUUGCUGCGGCGUCGGACACAGUCUGGUUGCUGGCGGCGUCGGACACAGUCUGGUUGCUGGCGGCGUCGGACACAGUCUGGUUGCUGGCGGCGUCGGACACAGUCUGGUUGCUGGCGGCGUCGGACACAGUCUGGUUGCUGGCGGCGUCGGACACAGUCUGGUUGCUGGCGCGUCGCUCGACACAGUCUGGUUGCUGGCGGCGUCGGACACAGUCUGGUUGCUGGCGGCGUCGGACACAGUCUGGUUGCUGGCGGCGUCGGACACAGUCUGGUUGCUGGCGGCGUCGGACACAGUCUGGUUGCUGGCGGCGUCGGACACAGUCUGGGUGCUGCGGCGUCGGACACAGUCUGGUUGCUGGCGGCGUCGGACACAGUCUGGUUGCUGGCGGCGUCGGACACAGUCUGGUUGCUGGCGGCGUCGGACACAGUCUGCUGGCGGCGUCGGACACAGUCUGGUUGCUGGCGGCGUCGGACACAGUCUGGUUGCUGGCGGCGUCGGACACAGUCUGGUUGCUGGCGGCGUCGGACACAGUCUGGUUGCUGGCGGCGUCGGACACAGUCUGGUUGCUGGCGGCGUCGGACACAGUCUGUUGCUGGCGGCGUCGGACACAGUCUGGUUGCUGGCGGCGUCGGACACAGUCUGGUUGCUGGCGCGUCGGACACAGUCUGGUUGCUGGCGGCGUCGGACACAGUCUGGUUGCUGGCGCGUCGGACACAGUCUGGUUGCUGGCGCGUCGACACAGUCUGGUUGCUGGCGGCGUCGGACACAGUCUGGUUGCUGGCGGCGUCGGACACAGUCUGGUUGCUGGCGGCGUCGGACACAGUCUGGUUGCUGGCGCGUCGGACACAGUCUGGUUGCUGGCGGCGUCGGACACAGUCUGGUUGCUGGCGGCGUCGGACACAGUCUGGUUGCUGCGGCGUCGGACACAGUCUGGUUGCUGGCGGCGUCGGACACAGUCUGGUUGCUGGCGGCGUCGGACACAGUCUGGUUGCUGCGGCGUCGGACACAGUCUGGUUGCUGGCGGCGUCGGACACAGUCUGGUUGCUGGCGGCGUCGGACACAGUCUGGUUGCUGGCGCGUCGGACACAGUCUGGUUGCUGGCGGCGGACACAGUCUGGUUGCUGGCGGCGUCGGACACAGUCUGGUUGCUGGCGGCGUCGGACACAGUCUGGUUGCUGGCGGCGUCGGACACAGUCUGGUUGCUGGCGGCGUCGGACACAGUCUGGUUGCUGGCGGCGUCGGACACAGUCUGGUUGCUGGCGGCGUCGGACACAGUCUGGUUGCUGGCGGCGUCGGACACAGUCUGGUUGCUGGCGGCGUCGGACACAGUCUGGUUGCUGGCGGCGUCGGACACAGUCUGGUUGCUGGCGGCGUCGGACACAGUCUUGUUGCUGGCGCGUCGGACACAGUCUGGUUGCUGGCGGCGUCGGACACAGUCUGGUUGCUGGCGGCGUCGGACACAGUCUGGUUGCUGGCGGCGUCGGACACAGUCUGGUUGCUGGCGGCGUCGGACACAGUCUGGUUGCUGGCGGCGUCGGACACAGUCUGGUUGCUGGCGGCGUCGGACACAGUCUGGUUGCUGGCGGCGUCGGACACAGUCUGGUUGCUGGCGGCGUCGGACACAGUCUGGUUGCUGGCGGCGUCGGACACAGUCUGGUUGCUGCGGCGUCGGACACAGUCUGGUUGCUGGCGUCGGACACAGUCUGGUUGCUGGCGGCGUCGGACACAGUCUGGUUGCUGCGGCGUCGGACACAGUCUGGUUGCUGGCGGCGUCGGACACAGUCUGGUUGCUGGCGGCGUCGGACACAGUCUGGUUGCUGGCGGCGUCGGACACAGUCUGGUUGCUGCCGGCGUCGGACACAGUCUGGUUGCUGGCGGCGUCGGACACAGUCUGGUUGCUGGCGGCGUCGGACACAGUCUGGUUGCUGGCGGCGUCGGACACAGUCUGGUUGCUGGCGGCGUCGGACACAGUCUGGUUGCUGGCGGCGUCGGACACAGUCUGGUUGCUGGCGUCGGACACAGUCUGGUUGCUGGCGGCGUCGGACACAGUCUGGUUGCUGGCGGCGUCGGACACAGUCUGGUUGCUGGUUUCUAGUUGUCCUUCAAUUUUAUUCAACCUGGAAUCCAGCAACUGUGAAAGUUGAAGACCUCUCCUCCAAAUAAAAUCUGUUUCAGGAGGAAAAAGUUUAUGUUUCAAGUCUGCUGUUGAAAUACUUGCAAUCAAUUUCUCACCAUCUCUUCUUCCCAGACGUUCAUAAUCAGCUUUCUGAUUCUCUCGUUCGACUGGUAAGCUCAGACCUGUGAAGAAACAAUUUAAAGGAAAGCUGUAGUCCAACAUCAGCUUUUUUUCCCCUUUAGUCUCUUGACCUUCAACAAUGUUCACAUAGACUGUCCCCACAUACCUUUGCUAAGGCAAACAGCCAGAACAAAAAGAGCCACAAAUGAAUCAGGUCCCAUCUUGACAGACGCUGAAUAAAAAUCCAACAAUCAAGAGAAGCUUUAUAGAGUUCCUCCUGCAGCUCACACAGCUGCUGGUCAUUACAUCUAAUUGUUUUUCUCCUCAGACCAACUUGACUAAGACUUGAUUGACAAUCAGGAAACAUUACAGAGUUUAAAGGUUGUGUCUUGAUUUCUUUAAGUUUAUGUGGUUCCAGGUUUUCUUUAGUAUUUGAUAGUCUUGCAGCA